UACGGGGGGUGCAAGCGUUGCUCGGAAUCAUUGGGCGUAAAGCGCCCGUAGGCGGUUCGUUAUGUCGGAUGUGAAAGCCCUUGGCUUAACCGAGGAAGUGCAUCCGAAACUGGCGAGCUAGAGUACUAAAGAGGAUCGCGGAAUUCCCGGUGUAGAGGUGAAAUUCGUAGAUAUCGGGAGGAACACCGGUGGCGAAGGCGGCGAUCUGGGUAGAUACUGACGCUGAGGUGCGAAAGCGUGGGGAGCAAACAGG
rnacentral:rRNA from 1 species